AAAAGUUAGUUUAAAUAAAACAUUAAUUUGUCAAAUUAAAAACAUUGCCAGCAAUACUUUUUA
rnacentral:tRNA from 1 species